GAUUAGAUACCCUGGUAGUCCACGCCGUAAACGAUGCUAACUCGUUUUUGGGCUUUCGGGCUCAGAGACCAAGCGAAAGUGAUAAGUUAGCCACCUGGGGAGUACGAACGCAAGUUUGAAACUCAAAGGAAUUGACGGGGGCCCGCACAAGCGGUGGAUUAUGUGGUUUAAUUCGAUGAUACGCGAGGAACCUUACCAAGACUUAAAUGGGAAUUGACAGGUUUGGAAACAGACCCUCCUUCGGGCAAUUUUCAAGGUGCUGCAUGGUUGUCGUCAGCUCGUGCCGUGAGGUGUUAGGUUAAGUCCUGCAACGAGCGCAACCCCUGUCACUAGUUGCUAACAUUUAGUUGAGGACUCUAGUGAGACUGCCUACGCAAGUAGAGAGGAAGGUGGGGAUGACGUCAAAUCAUCACGGCCCUUACGUCUUGGGCCACACACGUAAUACAAUGGCCGGUACAGAGGGCAGCUACACAGCGAUGUGAUGCAAAUCUCGAAAGCCGGUCUCAGUUCGGAUUGGAGUCUGCAACUCGACUCUAUGAAGCUGGAAUCGCUAGUAAUCGCGCAUCAGCCAUGGCGCGGUGAAUAUGUUCCCGGGCCUUGUACACACCGCCCGUCAAGCCAUGGAAGUUUGGGGUACCUGAAGUCGGUGACCGUAAAAGGAGCUGCCUAGGGUAAAACAAGUAACUAGGGCUAAGUCGUAACAAGG
rnacentral:rRNA from 1 species